rnacentral:lncRNA from 1 species
GUUUUAUUGUCAUGAAUGACACCAAUUUGUCAUCUCCAUUGGUAACCAGUAUAUAAAUCAGAGAUUAACGUCGUAAUGUAACUAAACAUCAGUAAGUAAAAUAUAUUGGGAUGCCUAAAUAUAAAGAAUAGAGAAAGAAUAAUGAAUAAGAUAAAUAAAAUGUAUAGAAAAGUAACAUAACAAUUUAAAGAAUACAGAAAUAAUCAACACCCCAAUCCGGACCCUCAUGGUAUACACGAUAAUCUGGAUGGAGAUACAGAAUAUAAAUAAAAGAUAAGGACAGUAGAGAGUGAUGCAUUGCUAAAAAAAGAGAGAAAAAAAAUUGUUUAAGAAUAAAGACAUGAAACCACCCUGGGUGUUGAAACAGUAACGGAUUGCGAUGUACUCAUAUUGGUAACCCGAAUAAUUCAGUCGUUAUAUUCCGCUGAUCUACGAAGGCUACAUGUGUGGGUGAAAAUCGGACACGGAAAGGGCUUGAAUUAUUCGAGUUAUCAUAUUGGUAACAAAUGCUUGAAGUUUACAUGUGGACAACUGCAGUUCCCACUGCACAUAUGUAGAAAAGGAACUAAAGGAAAUAACAUGAAUUUAAACUUAAUACAACCAAAUGUAGCUGCAUUCGCUCCUUUCCAUUUACUUCUUUAGAAUGAUUUAUAAACAACAGA